UACGAAGGGAGCUAGCGUUGUUCGGAAUCACUGGGCGUAAAGCGCACGUAGGCGGAUUUGCCAGUCAGGGGUGAAAUCCCGGGGCUCAACCUCGGAACUGCCUUUUAUACAGCAAGUCUUGAGUUCGAGAGAGGUGGGUGGAAUUCCUAGUGUAGAGGUGAAAUUCGUAGAUAUUAGGAAGAACACCGGUGGCGAAGGCGGCCCACUGGCUCGACACUGACGCUGAGGUGCGAAAGCGUGGGGAGCAAACAGG
rnacentral:rRNA from 1 species